AUUAGUCAAACAAAAUUAUGUCGUAAUUCUUCCUAGUGGCGUAGAUGCUUAGUUAAUAAAGCUAUAAUUUCCACAGCAUUUCAAAUGGUCGUGAAUAAUCUAAGCGUGAAGUAUAAUAAAUAUAUAAGGAAGAUAUGGAGUACUACCGAUCAAAAAUGAAGAACUUAAAUAUAUUGUUAGUUGUAUUUUUUGCCCUGGUGGCAAUGGUAUCAGCCCCCUAUCCUCUAAGGCAGUGGACGCCUCCAAGGAUGCCUCCACCACGCCCCCCACCCAUGGUACAUGUACAUAUUGGAGCUCGUGAUAAAUGGUGCCGACUUAAUCUGGGGCCUUUGUGGGGUGGACGAUGCUAGGAAAAAAACCGACGCACCCUCACAUUUGUAGACUUUAAUGAAAUGAUUAGCCGAAAAAUCAUUGAUAUUUUGAUUGGUUAUUACAAAAAAAAGAAUUAAGAAA